rnacentral:rRNA from 1 species
CCCUUAGAUGGUCUGGGCGGCACGCGCGCUACAAUGAUGCAUUCAAAAAGUCUUCUGACCUUAGAAGGUUGGGUAUUCUCCAAAGUGCAUCGUGAUGGGAAUAGUUUAUUGCAAUUUUUAAUCUUGAACGAGGAAUUCCUAGUAAGUACAGGUCAUCAACUUGUGUUGAUUACGUCCCUGCCCUUUGUACACACCGCCCGUCGCUCCUACUGAUUGAGUGUCUCGGUGAAUUCUUUGAUCUUCUGUCGAUUCAGUUCACUGAUCCGACGGUGGAAAGUUGAAUGAACUUCGUCACUGAGAGGAAGGAGAAGUCGUAACA